rnacentral:rRNA from 1 species
CCUAUGGGAGGCAGCAGUGGGGAAUAUUGCGCAAUGGGCGAAAGCCUGACGCAGCGACGCCGCGUGAGGGAUGAAGGUCUUCGGAUCGUAAACCUCUGUCAGCAGGGAAGAACGGUCACUGUGCUAAUCAGCAGUGAAUUGACGGUACCUGCAAAGGAAGCACCGGCUAACUCCGUGCCAGCAGCCGCGGUAAUACGGAGGGUGCGAGCGUUAAUCGGAAUUACUGGGCGUAAAGCGCUCGUAGGCGGUAUGUCAAGUCAAGGGUGAAAUCCCCGCGCUCAACGUGGGAACUGCCUUUGAACGUGGCAAAAGGAAGUGUGUGGGAGGAUAGUGGAAUCCCAGGUGGAGGAGUGAAAUCCGUA